AGCGAACGCUGGCGGCAGGCUUAACACAUGCAAGUCGAACGGGCAUCUUCGGAUGUCAGCGGCAGACGGGUGAGUAACACGUGGGAACGUACCCUUCGGUUCGGAACAACUCUGGGAAACUGGAGCUAAUACCGGAUACGCCCUUAUGGGGAAAGGUUUACUGCCGAAGGAUCGGCCCGCGUCUGAUUAGCUAGUUGGUGGGGUAACGGCCUACCAAGGCGACGAUCAGUAGCUGGUCUGAGAGGAUGAUCAGCCACACUGGGACUGAGACACGGCCCAGACUCCUACGGGAGGCAGCAGUGGGGAAUAUUGGACAAUGGGCGCAAGCCUGAUCCAGCCAUGCCGCGUGAGUGAUGAAGGCCUUAGGGUUGUAAAGCUCUUUUGUCCGGGACGAUAAUGACGGUACCGGAAGAAUAAGCCCCGGCUAACUUCGCG
rnacentral:rRNA from 1 species